rfam:Fervidobacterium nodosum Rt17-B1, complete genome.
GGGGGCGAACGGUUUCGACGGGGGUAGGCCUUCGCAGGAAGCGAGCCGAGGUUGCCCACCGUCCUCGUAAAAAAACGGUGGGGAAAAGAUAAGUGCCAACGAAUACGUUCCUCUUGCUGCUUAAUUAGAAUUGGCAGCCGUCCACUAUGAGAGUUGGCUGGUCUCUCAUAGUCGGGCGUGACCCUACCAGCCAGGUGUUCAGAACGCGCCUCGGGUUCUGAAACACCUUAACCACUGAGGCUAGCCAAACUAAAGCCUGUCUGUGGGCGUUAGUUUGGCGAAAUUCAAAACACAGACUGCGCUCGGAGAUGCUUGCGGUGGCUUACUUUCGGACGCGGGUUCGAUUCCCGCCGCCUCCACCA